GACGAACGCUGGCGGCGUGCCUAAUACAUGCAAGUAGAACGCUGAAGGAGGAGCUUGCUUCUCUGGAUGAGUUGCGAACGGGUGAGUAACGCGUAGGUAACAUGCCUGGUAGCGGGGGAUAACUAUUGGAAACGAUAGCUAAUACCGCAUAAUAGUAGAUGUUGCAUGACAUUUGCUUAAAAGGUGCAAUUGCAUCACUACCAGAUGGACCUGCGUUGUAUUAGCUAGUUGGUGGGGUAACGGCUCACCAAGGCGACGAUACAUAGCCGACCUGAGAGGGUGAUCGGCCACACUGGGACUGAGACACGGCCCAGACUCCUACGGGAGGCAGCAGUAGGGAAUCUUCGGCAAUGGACGGAAGUCUGACCGAGCAACGCCGCGUGAGUGAAGAAGGUUUUCGGAUCGUAAAGCUCUGUUGUAAGAGAAGAACGAGUGUGAGAGUGGAAAGUUCACACUGUGACGGUAGCUUACCAGAAAGGGACGGCUAACUACGUG
rnacentral:rRNA from 1 species